AAUUUCAAGAAGUAAUUAUGAUUUUCAUACCUCAAUAUCCAUGGAAAAUAUAGAAUAAAAAUAAGUGUGUAAAACAUAAAUGACACCAAAGAUCUCUACAAAAGAACAGUCUGCUAAAAGAAGAAACAGAAAAAGAAAGGUGUAAGCAAGGGUGACAUUUAGUGAAAGAAAGAUAUGAGAAAAAAAUUAAGACAAGAAAGAUGGACAAGAGUAAGAAAACUAACACAAAGAAAGCAUGAUCAAGAAAAAGAAAGGAAACCUCAGCAAAGACUUUAAAUUAAGUUAAAGUACAUAGAUAGUGACAAAGGAUAGAUAAUUAGAAAAUAUUUCACAUUCAGUGUCUACUAGUUGUAAGCCAUUCACAUGCUCUAAAUUUAUUAAUACAACAUGCUAAAACACAUUUUGCUCCUUACUAUAGUUAAUGUGCCUUUUAAGCAGUGCAAAAAAAUCAAAUUACAAGCCAUCGGGAAGUAAUAAAAGCUUUGAAUCUAUCUUACGACAUAUUUCGUAACUAAGUUUUUAUCUAUAAGAUUAUUUAUUUUGUCAAUAUAAGAUAACAGUUUUAACUGUUGCAUCAAAACGGAAGCGUUAUGUCUGUACGUCUAUUGAUUGUAAAUUGGCGAAGGUGAUAUUCAAAUCUUAUGUUUCAUAAAAAUGGAUCAGGAUGUUAUUGAAUCUGAUAUUACUGAACCCAGUUUAUGGAAGGAUACUGUUGUAUAUGAAAACACCACAAUCGUCUCCAAAAGACAUACCGGAUCUAGGACACAAACUGUUGAAGAUUCCCUUUAUGAAACACUUAAAUUAGAAGAUUUAAAUAAACCUAAAGUUGAAACCGGAAUUCAGGAAAAUAACUUAAAGCGACUAAAAUAUGUGAUAUAUAUCAUGACAGUGCUGAUAAUUGUUCUUUACAUUACACUCAUCUCUUUAGUAAUAAUCCUGUUUGUGCCGAAACAUUCAGUUGAUGGUCAUUGGUAAGAUUGGUCCAGUUGGACAUCGUGUGACGUAACAUGUGGUAACGGAACACACAUACGGACAAGAACAGGUACAAAUCCAGUGCCUACGAAUAAAGGAAUUCAAUGUAUUGGAGAAAGUAUUGAGAGCAAUGAAUGCUUAAAAGACAACUGUCCAGUCGAUAGUCGAUGGACACACUGGUCAAGCUGGGCUGAAUGUGAUGUCACGUGUGGCAAAGGAACUCAUCAACGCUCGAGAACUUGCACAAAUCAAGUUCCAGCAAAUACUGAAAUCGAUUGUAUUGGAGAAACAUUACAAACCGCUGAAUGUUCAAAAGACAGUUGUCCAGUCGAUGGUCGAUGGGCACAUU